UAGUGACAAAAACUGACUCAGUGGAAUCGUAGUUGUUUGGACAUCUGAAGUAAUCUGAACCGAUCAUAAUUGUGUCAAUCCAAACAAGUUUUAAAAGUUGAUCCAGAGUUGGAUGGAAAGUUACAAAAGGUCGUAAAGGUUACGUUUUAGGCUGUGACGUCUCAAAAACCCUGGGUCCCCUUGAAAAUAAUCAUAAUUUUUGAAGAUUUGGAUAUCAUCAAUCAACAUCUAAAAUAAUAGCAGUAGAUUUUCUUUCCAACACGUGAGAAGAACGAAGAAAGAAAACAUCGAAUGUUAUGAUCUACACGAGAAACAUAACAAUGGACAUAUCACACGAUCGGUCCCACAAAUUGAAUAGUUAGAAAAUCUAAUAAAAAC